rnacentral:lncRNA from 1 species
UUUUUUUUUUUUGCGGUGAUGAAUUUAGUUAAAUUAAUUUUUUGUAAAUGAAUUUUUAGAAUUUUAAUGUAUUAUCACUGUUCUAGGGUUCAUAAUGUACCUAGGAAUCAAAUUUGGAGUGUAUGAACCCUAGGAUCAAAUUCAAAAAAAGUCGUAGAAUGCUCUAGGGUAUAUGAACCCUAUAUGAAAUUUGACAAGUGCUAAAUUUACUAUCAAAUUUGACAAGUGCUGAAUUUAGUUUCAAAUAUUAUGAAGAAAAAUGACUUCUUGCAAUCCACUAGCUAGCUUGCAUUUUUCUUCAAGUUCUAUAUUUUUCUUCCUGGUAUAUGCAAAUUUGAAAUUGACAUGUGAUAUGUGGACAUGUGAUUUGGACAUGUGAUAUUUGGAAAAUGAUGGUUAUGUGCGGGGUAAAUGAUCCAAGUGGCCUAUGUUUCCGCGGAAUGUUGAUUCAUUUCCGUUCCGGUGAAUUUUAGGCACUUUAUAUGUCCAUGUUUUAGCAAAGGCCAUGCCAAAAUUUCUCGUGAAAUUCUGCAUGACUUGUGCUAGAAAGUAGGCAUAUCAAGUGCCGGGAUUCACUGUAACCGGAAUGAAACGACAUUCCGGUAAACCAUAGACCUCUUUUUAUGUCAUUACUCAUUUUAUUAUAGUUUAAGAAUUAAACUAUGAGACUUAAUCAUAGGAAAUAUGUCGAACAACGAAGAAACCGGGCCUUCUGACCAUGGUGCAGACGAGAUGGAUUAUGACCAUCAACAUAAGUGGCUCAACUUUUUGUCUCGUAAGCACAAUCAAGGUUUGCAGGGCGGCCACGAUGAUGGUACUAACGCCGACAUCGACACCGAUGGCACCGACACCGAUGACGGUGGUGUGAUUGGCGGGAAAGGCACCGGUGCCGAAGCCGCUAACGAAAAGAAGAAGCAGAGGACACGAAAACCUAACAAACUCGGCAUCGGAAGACUGCUGGUCACAAAGAUGCACCCCGACAAAUUUGAGCCGAUAGAGUCGGAUGAACCUCGCAAGUGCUACAAGAACCAAGUCGGAUGCAUCCUACGGGAAACCGCGAGCAUCAACGACAAUGACUUAAGGAGUAAACAAAUUGGGAGCACUUGCUCCCAAACGAAGCUGCACAAGAGUUUCCAGUUCCCCGAACGGAAUGACCGCAUUGAAGAGCCGUGGGAUGAUCCUGCCAUGAAAAAGAUUAACAACCACACCAUGGGCAUGUUCAACAAUGAUUUGGCCUCUUAGAAAGGGAGGGUGAAAUGAGCUAUCGAGGCUAAUGAACCCCUGUCCAAGAUUCUGGAGGAAAAUCCGACACUUACGGAAGAGGAGUUCCAAAAGUUCAAGGACACUUGCGCUACCGACGCAACCAAGGCUAAGUCGGAGAAAUUCAAGGGGCUUCAGCAAAGGAACAUGGGGAACCAACGCCUCGGAAGCUGUGUCUACCUUGGCAAAAGACCCAUAUGGGAUAAGGAGGACGCGGAACGUGAAGCCGCGGGGAUCCCAGACCCCUUUGUGCAAUUCACCGACCCCUUGGAGCGUGACUUCAUUAGGGCCCAGUACAAGUGGGACAAGGAAAAGAAGGUUUUUUACAUGGACCCGAUCACGACAAAAUUGAUUCGAAUACUGGUAAUUAUUCUUUUACCACCUUACAUUUAGCUUUUGAUCAAGUCGACUACACAUUCGUAAAUGGUUCACGUUCCUUUUGUGGGAGAAGCAACACAUGCUUGCAGCCGAAAGCGAGUCUUCAUUGAUGAGGUCCAAGUGGGACACCCCUCUCAACCGGACCUUGAACGACCUGAAGGGACUCCCUUUGGACCAGCCGCCGCAAUAUGGACGUGUGCACGGCAUCGGAUAUGGCGCCACGUGGAAGGUCUAUUACAACGAGGGCCCGGAGGCCAAGAAGUAGAAACAAAAGUUCAGUCAGGCGGACAUCGGCGCGAAGGUGAAGCUUGCGUUCGACAAAAAAGCUGUUGAGGAUGAGAAAAAAGCAGCUCAGGAGAAAAAUGAGUUGGUCCAACAGGCAGUCGCUGCAGCUUUAGCUGCCUGCAGAAAUGAUUUGGCUACUAACUUGAUCCUAACUGUCAUCAAUUGGAUGAAGGAAAAUCCAGAAAAGAUGGCACAUGAUUUUCCCAUGCCCAGCUUCGUCGGGAGCAACUCGGUGAACAUCACAAUGACACCAUCACCUGCUCUCGCAACCGUGCCAGCUCCCGCACCUGCACCCACACCAGCUCAUAGCAGCGUGUCCUCUGUCUCUAGCGUGCUAGGAGGGCCUUCAUCUUUGGCUAUGCUUGACGCCCUCACGAUAACUACACGUUGCACCAACAUAUAUCUAGAAUAUUCCGUUUUCGUUGCCUUUCGGAUGUUUUACGCCGCAGACAUGUCUUUGUAGGCCGACGAAACCCCAUGCACCGUACUCUACGUGAUCAAAGGCCAGAAGGUGGACGUGGGAAAGGCAGUGAUAAUGAAGCCCUUGGAACUCAUGUUCCAGGGCAAGCCGAUCCCCGUUGGCACCUUCAGGGUUAACUUGUCGAGUGUGAAAUCGGGGCACGAGGAUUUGCCUCCUCUAGUACGGCUCGGGGGAGAGGAGGACGAGACCCCGAUGCGGCUUGGAAACUACAAGGGUUGGAUGUUGCUAUGGCCGAAGAAUCUUCUUCGUCUGGAGACAGCCGAGAGCACACCAAUAACCACACAUCAGCAAGCAGGUAUGAACACCACCACCCCGCCUACGCAAUUACCAGCGCCUGUAGUGCCGGGUGAGAACGAUAGACAACGCGAGGAAGGGGGUCCAGUAGUGGAUGAUGUAGUCGCCCCCGUAUAAUAAAGAAUGGAUGAUGAGAUGGACGAGGAUGACCCUCUUCGGUUCCUCAAUAUAGGUGCCUAUGACAACGACGUAGAAAUGAUGAGUCAGCCAUAUGACUCGGGCUAUCAGCAUGCUGAUGAGGAGAUGGAUGAUGUGCCCGGGAAGGAACAUCCUAGGGUUGAUUGCAAGAAGUCUCUUCAAGCAAUCCUCACAGGACACGCUUGAAGAUGCCGCCUUAACGCAAUGUCAACUAGCCAAGGGUCAUACAAUGCUUAGCCCGACAACACUGGUGGCGGGGUUAAGGAAGGGUCUGGAAGGUCAUCCCAAUAAAAAGGAGAGGAAGAUACCAUCGAAGAAAAGCUCUGGUGCCGCCAAAGCUGCCAAAGCUUCUAGCAGCCAGGCGACCAAUUUUGCAGACUGUGUAUCGGUCAAAGUUGUGGCGGUCUUCCAUGUCAUGGGCAAGCCAAUCCUACCGCUGAAACCACUGGAGGGCAUAUCAGGGGAUCUCAGGAGACUGCACGACCAUGUGCUGUCGACUGAGAAAAGCCUUCUAGCCUUGAAGGAUCUAGGAUAUCUGCUAUACACAGUUUGUGUGCCUGAGGGGAAGUGCUACGUUGACACACUGCCCACAGAGGUGUUCUUCCUGUGCUUUGAUUAUAUCUUUGAUAUGUUUCUCACAAGGCGGCUCGAUUUUACAAUCGCCCACCUUUUUGCGCUACAUAUGAACUUUGUCAUCACGGGAGAACAAAUCUCGCAAAUCUGUGUGGCGGAUCCAUACUACAUGCAUGAGUGCUUCUUGAGUCUCGGCGACUUUGAGCGUAAAACUGCUAGGGAGUACAUCGAAAACUUCAUGAUAAGGAAUAAGGACAAGGAAACGGUCCUCCUGCCUUAUCAUCCAAUGUAAGUCAGUGUUGGACAACCCUUUUGUACAUUUCAAUCAUUCCUUCUUGCUCAUAUGGAGAAUCAUUUGAGGUGUUUUUUCCUGCAGCAAUGCGCGCACCGUCCUUAUAGUUCUUUUCUCACGAGUCUCCCAUGCCGUGUAUUUCGACCCUUCCAAAAACUACGAGAAGAAGGACUACACCCACAUAAUGGAUAUUCUAGAUGAUGCUCUACACGGCUUCAGCAUGAGGGGUGGCCACCUCGAGAUCGGGAAACAAAGGAACCGCAAGCCAGGUUUCUUGCAUAAAACUAACUUUUGCGGGAUCCAUCAACCAACAUCAAGCAGAAAUGAUGGAUUCUACCUCCUCCAUCUCAUGAUAGAGUUUGAAAGGGAUCACCAAUAGCUUCGCAUGAGAACCAAAAACGAUGAACAUAUCCGCAAAUGGGCAAAAUCCCUAGGAGAAGAAUCAGAAUCAGAUUAUAAACUUAGAAAUGACUUCUUUCGCAUCCAAAGGGACAUUGCAACGAUCGUCAUGAAAGAAGUCGUCGAGAAGAAUUGGAUGUUCUACCAUGGCCCUAUAUCGCGAGCUAACAUCCUAACUUGCAUAGGCCUACAACGUCAGGACCUAACGCCAUUAAAGAAGCUAGGGUGCAUCCUCGAUGAUCUAGAUGGAUGGAACUUCUAGUAAUGAUUGACGAUGCUGAUGAUGAUGUGUCGGUUGAACUGGUACUUGAUGUAGCGAUCAAACUUUGUGAUGUAAGUGGUGCAUGUCGAACUUGCGUAAUGCUAGUUUGUUAGUUUGAGUACGAUGACCUGCAUAACUCUAGUUAAUUAGUUUGUGUAUGAUGGACCUGCGUUGAUUAAUUAUGUUUACUAUAUGUUGCAUCUAUUUGCUAACACCCUUUAUUUUUGUGUUGCUCAAUUAUAUUAUGUUGCAGAUUUUUGUUGAUUCUCUUCAUGAAGAUGCAUCUCUAACAGGUACAUAGAUCCUUGAUGGCAAAGAAGUGCUAUGUCGUGUACAUAGGGAAGAUUCCAGGAGUGUACGACGAGUGGCCCGAGUGUCAGGCUCAAGUGGAGCGGUUCUCAAGCGCCAGCCAUAAAGGGUUCGAUAGCAGACAAGAAGCAGAAGUUAGUUACUUGAGGUUCACGCUAGCGCGAGAGAGGAAUCAGAACCGCCGCCUCAUGUAUUGCAUAGUUCCGCUCUCACUCAUAGUGAUAGCUCUUCUCUUCUACAUGAUUGUUUAGAUGGACGACGAUGUAUAGUUGCAAGUAUUUGAGGCAUGUCAUAACUUGUAUCGUUAUUUCGAGAUGAUGACAAGAGACAUCAUUUUGUGUUUGAUGAUGAUUAUGAUGGUGACAUGAUUUGAUGAGACUAUUUGUAUGUGUAUGAUAUGAUUAGAUUUGCAUGUGUAUGAUAUGCUAGAGACUAAUGUAUAAAACCUGUACAAAUACAAAAGAAAAUAUGUAGCAGAAAAAAAUUAGAAACUAAUAACAGUAUCGCGGGGUAUGAUUUUAGCAGCAGCGAGAGAUUAGCAGUAGUGCACUUUAAAACAGGGCGCUACAGCUAUUAGCAACAACGCAUUCUUGUAACACAUGCUACUUCUACCUCUAGAUAGCAGUAGCACGGGCCAACACACGCUACUACUAAUUAAAAGUUAGCUGUAGCGUUGUAGCAGUAGUGUGGCCACCCACGCUACCGCUAGGCAUUUGACCCGCGCUACUGCUAGGCUUUUUCCUAGUAGUGUAAGUCGGUGCAAUAGGAGCCAUGUUUGUGUCUACGAAAUUCUAAUAAAACAUUAACGAGAUUGGGUAUUUGAUCUGAGUUGUCCGCUGGCCUAAAUGCACUAACCGUCAUGCGGGACAAUGUAUGAGUUGAAGAGUUACUCUCAUUAGAAGGUGGGCACGGGUAGCUAAUCCACUUUUCCUCCUUUUGUUCUUCGCCCUCCUCAUCAUCUUUUUCAUCUAAUGAGCUCACUGUAUCAUCAAUUUCUUCUUCCAUAGUUUCCUGUAAAAUAUUAGUGUCUUCUUGGACAUCGGAGACUUUCUCAAUAAAACCAUUAAUAUCGGCAUUAUAUUCAUAAUUCUCGUAGCAAUAUUUAAGUAUAGCAUAAUUUUUAGGUCUGUAAACAACAUCAUCAUCAUUUUCACACUUUGCAAACAAAGAUUCAAUUUCGUAAGCACCCUUAAAAGCAACAAAUUCUUCUAUUUGUUCCACAUCAUAGUAAUCAUACAUACCAUUAGCAUAAGAAGCCAAGGUUUCAUUACCACUAAAUUUACAUGAAAAGGGAAGGUGUGGAGCCUUCAUCCUAGAGCAAUAAGUAUAAUCAUAUCUCAAGCAUAAAUUCCAAGAAUACCAAUGCAACAUAUGAAUUUGAUCCCAUAACAGUUUCCCUUUUUGCAUCAAGCAAGAAUCCCUAAAGUAUUCACGUUGAUCCAACGUAUCUCCCAUUAUCAAGUUGAAUGGGGUUUUCUCAGGAUUAUCAUAGUGUUUAAUAUUUUUCACAUAACGAGCAUCGAGGGUUUUAGGAGGUUCCCCAUCUCCAUGAGUAGCAAAUACACCUAAUUUUUUUUGGUAUUUCAUGUUCCAAAUCCAUAACUAAAGAUAGAUAACAACUAAGAACAAGAAAUAAAAUCUACUUAGUGAUAGAGCAAACAAGCACACAUGAGAAUAUUCACCCAACGCUAUUGCUCCCCGGGAACGGCGCCAGAAAAAGGUCUUGUUAACCCACAAGUGUAGGGGAUCAAUUGUAGCCUCUUUCGAUAAGUAAGAGUGUCGAACCCAACGAGGAGCUAAAGGUAGAACAAAUAUUCCCUCAACUUCUAUCGAUCACCGAUACAACUCUACGCACGCUUAACGUCGCUUUACCUAGAACAAGUAUGAAACUAGAAGUACUUUGUAGGUGUUGUAGGAUAGGUUUGCAGGAUAGUAAAGAGCACGUAAAUAAAAACUAGGGUCUAUUUAGAUAAAUAAACAAUUAAGUUAGUAUAUUGAGUGUGAAAAAGUGGUGGUAGGAGUUGCGGAAUUGUCCCUAAGCAAUUGACUACGUUACUAGACCGAUAGCAAGUUUUAUGUGGGAGAGGCCACUGCUAGCAUGUGAUCCCUUACUUGGAAUUCUAUGCACUUAUGAUUGGAACUAUUAGCAAGCAUCCGCAACUACUAACGUUCAUUAAGGUAAAACCCAACCAUGGCAUGAAGAUAUAUUGGUCCCCCUUCAAUCCUGUAUGCAUCAAUUACUAUGCUAGGAUGAAGCUACUGUCACCCUUGCCCUCCAAUACAUAGUCCUAUCAACAUACAACUAACCCUAUGGUGUUAUCCACACGCACGCUCAUAUGAUGGGAACCAAAGAACAGCAACAUAACCACAAGAAAACUGAACCAAUCAUAGCAAUUCACCAAUUACCGAUAGGACAACAAAAAUCUACUCACACAUCAUAGGAUGGCAACACAUGAUUGGAUAAUGAUAUGAAGCAUAAAGAACCAUGUUCAAGUAUAGGGUACAGUGGGUUGCGGGAGAGUGGACUGCUAUAGAUAGAUGGGGGAAGGUGAUGGAGGUGUUGGUGAAGAUGACAGAGUUGUUGGAGUAGAUCGCCGUCACGAUGAUGGCCCCGGCGGCGUUCCGACGCCACCGAGAGAGAGGGGGAGAGAGACCCCCUCCUUCUUCUUCUUCUUCCUUGACCUCCCUCCUAGAUGGGAGGAGGGUUUCCCCUCUGGUCCUUGGCCUCCAUGGCGGCGGAGGGGAAAGAGCCCCUCUGAGAUUGGAUCUCUCUCUAUGUUUCCUUCUGUUUCUGCAUUCCCUGUUUCUGGCCUUUCACUGUUUCUUAAAUUCCCGGAGAUCCAUAACUCUGAUUGGGCUGAAAUUUUAACACAACUUUUAUUCUGAUGUUAUCUUUCUUGCGGCCGAAGAAGGGCACUAGCUGCCUUACAGGGUGACCACAAUCCUCCCAGGCACGCCCAGGGUAGGGGGCGCGCCCCUAGGGCUUGUGGGCCCCUCGGGCAUCGUCUCGUGUUGAUUCUUUUUUCCAAAAACCACAUAUAUUCCAAAAGAAUCUCUGUAAGUUUUUAUCGCGUUUGGACUCCGUUUGAUAUGGAUAUUCUGCGAAACAAAAAACAUGUAACAAACAGGAACUAGCACUGGGCACUGGAUCAAUAUGUUAGUCCCAAAAAUAACAUAAAAAGUUGCCCAAAGUAUAUGAAAGUUGUAGAAUAUUGGCAUGAAACAAUCAAAAAUUAUAGAUACGGCGAAGACGUAUCAAAGUGCCACAAACAACCCUAGAGUUCGUACUAGAAUAACACCAUAUGAUACGCAUCAAUCAAUUCUAAUAUCACCUAGAUACUCCAAUGUCACCACAAGUAUCUGUGAGUUAAUUAUUAGACAUGCAUCAAACAAUUUCAGAUUCAUAACAUUCAAUCCAACACAAAAACUUCAAAGAGUACCCCAAAGUUUCUAUCAGAGAAAGUAGGACGAAAAUGUGUAUCAACCUAUGUGCCUAGAUUACCAAAAUGUCACCACGGGAAUUCGCAAGUUGAUUACCAAAACAUAUAUCAAGUGACUCAAUAGAAUACCCCGAUUAUCACCACGGGUAUCUGAUACGUCUCCAAAGUAUCUAUAUUUUUUUAUUAUUCCAUGUUAUUGUAGUAUCAAUCUUGGAUAUUCAUUAUGCAAUUAUAUAUCAUUUUUGGGACUAACCUAUUAACCUAGUGCCUAGUGCUAGUUGUUGCUUUUUGCUUGUUUUGGCUUUUCAAGAAAUCGGUACCAAACGGAGUCCACGCUAUGAAACUUUUUGACAUUUUUUUCUAGACCAGAAGGGACCCUGGAAGCUUCGGGAGAAGACAUGCGGAGCCACGAGGGAGCGACAAGCCCACAGGGUGCGCCCACCAGGCUUGUGGGCCCCUCGUGGCAUCUCUUCACCUAAUUCCACUUCUAUAAAUUCCCAAAUAUUCCCAGUACAACAAAGAGCCACCCUUGACAAGCCACAAGUUUCUGUUCUUCGGAGAUCCCAUCUGGAGACCUUUUUCGGUACUCUGUCGGAUGGGGAAUAGAUCACGGAGGGCCUCUAGAUCAACCUUGCUGCCCUUCUGAUGAUGUGUGAGUAGUUUACCACGGACCUAUGGGUUCAUAGCUAGUUGCUAGAUGGCUUCUUCUCUCUCUUUGAUCUUCAAUACAAUGUUCUCCUCUAUGUUCUUCGAGAUCUAUUCGAUGUAAUCUUGUUUUGCGAUGUGUUUGUUGGGAUCCGAUGAAUUGUGGAUUUAUGAUCAGAUUAUUCAUGAAUGUUAUUUGAGUCUUUUCUGAAUUCUUAUAUGCAUGAUUGUUAUAUCUUUGUAUUUCCCUCUGAUCUAUCUGCUUGGUUUGGCCAACUAGAUUUAUGUAUCUUGCAAUGGGAGAGGUGCUUUGUGAUGGGUUCGAUCUCGCGGUGCUCAAUCACAGUGACAGAAAGGGGCAUGACACGUAUUUGUAUCGUUGCCAUUAAGGAUAAAAAGAAGGGAUUUAUUCAUAUUGAUUGGGUUUACUUUGUCUACAUCAUGUCCUCUUGCUUAAGGCGUUACUCCGUUCUUUAUGAACUUAAUACUCUAGAUGCAUGCUGGAUAGCGGUCGAUGUGUGGAGGAAUAGUAGUAGAUGCAGGUAGGAGUCGGUCUACUUAUCUCAGACGUGAUAUCUAUAUACAUGAUCAUUGCCUUGAAUAUUGUCAUAACUAUGUGCUUCUCUAUCAAUUGCCCAAUAGUAAUUUGUUUACCCGUCGUACGCUAUGUUCGAGAGAGAAGCCUCUAGUGAAAACUAUGGCCCCCGAGUCUAUCUUUAUCAUAUAUUAAAAUCCAAAAAUACCUUGCUGCAAUUUAUUUACCGUUAUAUUAUUUUGUGUUUUUGUUUAUCUAUCUACCAUUAUCAGACUUGAUCCUUGCAAGUAACUGUCGAGGGGAUUGACAACCCCCUUGAUCACGUUGGGUGCAAGUAUUUGUUCUUUUGUGUGUAGGUGUUGUUCACGAGGUCUUGCGUGGUUAUCCUAUUGGAUCGAUAACCUUGGUUCUUAACUAAGGGAAAUACUUAUCUCUACUUUACUGUGUCAUCCUCUCCUCUUCGAGGAAAUACCAACAUAGCUCACAACUAGCAGUAUCCACAUGCAAGACAUACAUCAAAGUGAUCUCAAAUCCAUUAUUAAAUCUGAUAAUAACGGAAUCUCAAAGGAAAAGACUCAAUUCAUCACAACAAGAUAGAGAGGGAAGAACACCAUAUGAUCCAACUAUAUUAACAAAGCUCGUGGUACAUCAAGAUCGUGCCAAAUCAAGAACAUGAGAGGGAGAGAGAGAUCAAACACAUAGCUACUGGUACAUGCCCUCAACCUCGAGGGUGAACUGCUCAUCAUGGAGAUCACCGGGAUGAUGAAGAUGGCCUCCGGUGAUGAUUCCCCCCUCCGGUAGGGUGCCAGAAAAGGCUCCAAAUGAGAUCGCCUCGGUACAGAGAAUUGCUGCACCGACGUGAAAUUUAUAGGUUUAUUCUGAAGAUUUCCCAAUUUAUAAGAAUUUUUGGCAUGGUUUCACGUUAGGGGGGUCCCGUGGGACCCAUGAUCUCAGAGUACACUCCCUACCUCUCAGGGCGCAUGGGGUGAGCUCGUGACUCCCUCGUCUAUGUUUUGAUCCUUCCUCGAAGCUUCGGGGGUCUCUUAUGUUCCAAAAAAAUGACCGUAAAUUUUUGUGGCAUUUGGACUUUGUUUGGUAUGAAUUUUCUACGAAACAGAAAAUAGCCAAAAAAAACAUAAACUAGCACUUGGCACUAGGUCAAUAGGUUAGUUCCCACUAAUCAUCCAUGGCAGCGCCGGUCACUAGCUCACUUAGAUCACGGGUUAGUGAAAUUUAUGAUAUGAGUGAGGGCUGAGAGUGAGCGGGAUGGGGGUUGUUCUAUUCGGUUAUGGUUGUCUGAGUGGAAUAAUUUCUAUAAUUUAGAGAACAUGGCAAAUUGCAUUUCAUUAGAGAUGGCUUUGCAGCAAAUUGCAUGAGCGAGUGGUUCAUAUAUUAUUUUGCCAAGUCAUACAACUUUUUGGUUAGGAUAGAAGGGUCAUCAUUCGUCGGUUGCUUCAAGAGUUAAUAACGGACGCCGUGGCAUAUCAGUUGCAUGCCAACAAGGAACAUUUUAUAUUUUGUUUCAUGGUAAUGCACGACAUUCAACUGUAUGUUACAACGUGGAAAUGGUGACGGAGACAUCGGAUUUGUCUUCUUGGCUCGGGGGGUGUCAUGGGCGGCACAUGCCUCAUCUCCUUUUAUGGCGGUGACGGAUCGUUACGAACAUGGGGGUAGGGGAUCAGGGCGGAGAACGGGACGGUUGGUGGGGGACUCCUUGGCAGUCUGUGGGGAGGUACGGUGUAAAAGAGAGAGGGCACCAUGAUGAAGGUGAGGUGGGCAUCAUCCAACUUUAAAGGAGAGGGCUCCAGCGAUAAAUGUCUCGCUCCGAUAGAAAACCAAGUGGGAAGGGGAGGGUCCGGCAGGAAAAAGGAAUGGUGCAUUGUGGGGUGGUUUUUUUGUGUUCGGGCCACGUGUUGAAGAUGAUAUGGCGGAUAGUCCGGACAAACACAUUUCCACCCCACAUAUGGGAUGGAUUCGGAAGUCUGGACUGUCCAGACGGUUCGAUUUGGAGCCCGCUGGGUGCCCCUUUGAUGUCCGAAUAUGUCCAGACAUAUGAGGAAGAAAUGAGCUUUGACUUUGAAGACGACCUUAAUCAUUUAUUUGAUUUAUCUAUAUGCAUUUUAGCCCGUAGUAACGCACGGGAGUUCUACUAGUAUUAUUAAAACAAAGCUCUAAUGAUCAGGUGUGUUAAGUUUAUUUUUUUUUCAAAACUCUUCCUAAUAAUAUUGAAAUCACCACCUAUCACACAUGGUAAAGUGCUUCUCUGAUAAAUCUUAGAAAGUUCAGCUAAAACCCAAUUUUUCUCUCAGGUUGAUCAGCCCCAUAAACAGUAAUUGAAUUCCAGGCUAGAUCUAUUUUUUUCAUACACUAACACUAACAAAAUAAUACACAUGUUCAGAAUCCAAAACCUCCAAAGAAUCAUUAUUAGCUGUCACCAGAAUACCUCCAGACUUCCCUCUAGAAGGAGCCCAAUGCCAUUUAAAGUUUUUUUCCUCCACAAAAGGAGUGCAAUUCCUUAUUAGAUAAGUGGUCCUUCAUGGUAUCAUGAAUUCCCACGAAGUCUAAAGAGUAAUACACUACACUCUCUUAUAAAUCUUUUUCUAAUCUCCCAACCAAUAUAUCCAACAUUCAAAAUAAACCUUUCAUUAGGAGUUUUUAUGUUUUUAUAUUCUUGAUAGCAUACCUAUUUACAGGUAUGCCUUCUUUUAGCCUAACAAUUGCGGGCAAAAAGGUCCCUAUUUUUCUUAGAGGGAAAACUUGUUUCAGUUCUCUAAGUAUAUUUUUCUCCAACUCAAUGACGGGGUUAUCUCUGUCAGAACAUAACUCAUUCAAGUCAACAUCUCUAGUAGUGAUAUCAUGACUAGAAAGCAUAUCUAAUCUAGCCAUCUCGAAUUUCCUCAUAAUCUCUAGGUUAUGUCCAAUCAAAUCCAUAGUACAUCCAUUGCAAUAAGACAUAGUCAAAAGGGAGGGGUUAUUAAGUCUAAAAGAUCAAGAAAAGAUUCAUUGCCAUAAUUAUAUUUUGAUGUUGCCCUCUCUUUAGCCAUGUCCUCCACUCUAACAUCUUCCCUGUCUAUGAGCCUAGGGGCCAUCCUCACCAUUCUCCUCCACUUGACCAUGGCACUAUUGGACCACGGUGGUCAAUAAUGCCUGUAAUUUUCUUUAUUACGGUUCCAAAGGACUCCUAUGAAGAUACAAUAUCGGUCUGACUAGCAUUGUAAUCAACAUGUUCCAAAUAGUUAUCUCUUGUGUCACCAAUCUUUUCCUCCAUACAAUUUUCUAGUUCAUCCUCUCCUUCUUCCCUAGGAGGCACAUCACCUUUAUUUUUAUUAGCUUCAUUCUUGUCUAAGACCUAUUGUAGUAAUUUCUGCAAGUGCUUGUUCUGCUUCUCAAGUUCCACUUGUAGCUUACUUUUUUCAACUUCAUCGUCUCCCAUUAUUUUUCCAUCCAUAGCAAUUUGAACAGCUUGUCUAGCUUUCUCUUCCUCCACCUAUUUCUUUCUAGCAGUUAACUCUACUCAUCCACUAAACCAUCAGUUGAGGGGUCUGUCACUAGCCACUUUUCAUGCUUCUACAUUAUUUUUGUCAACAUUCAAAGCCUCAUAAGCCAAAGAAAGACUUCCCAAUUUGAUAAUCUCCUUCUUAGCUUCUGACCCUUUAUUUUUCUUAGGCAAUCUUCUCUCAUCGGUAUCAUCUUCUUUAGGGUUAUGCAGUAGACUAUCAUCUCCACCUCUCUUUCCAGGCCUAGAAAACCAACCCUGCUCCGCCACUAUCUCAACCUCAAAGGUCAUUCUAGAAACCCAAAGCUCUCUUGUAGUUAUUUCAGUAGAACCAUGAAUCUUCUUCGGGUCUCUCAUCCCAAGUUUCACCCUAACAAAUUCACUACCAAUUGAAUCCGUAUCAUUCUCAAUCACCGUUCCAAAGAGAGGUCCCCAAUUCACACAUUCAACCACUUGAUAUUCAGCUGGAGUUACAUGUCUAUAUGGGGAGCUUAUAUAGUGUCGUGUACCUGACAAAUGAUCAAGGCCAUCCUUAAAAAAAGGAGGUGUGUGGGUAGAGAGCUGGGUCAUUUGUGUCCUUUGAAGACCUCUAAUUGGGCUUGGAGGUGUGUUGUAGUCCAUUAAUGAGGGCAUUUCCUAUACUGCGUGUUAAGCACCUGUAUUUUGCAACUUGGCGUACACCCCCUCCACUCUAGGCCGACACAUCUACUCCUUUUUUUUCUUCUGUUUUUAACCCCCAAAAAGGGCGCUAGGUAUGAUUCGAACCCACGACCUCCGCGCCUAGUUUAGCUAUGGUAGUCAACCAAACACCCACUAUGAUGUGAUUAGUUACAUCUUUUUUACUCUUUCUUCUUUCUUUUGCUUUUCUGUUCCUUAUUUCUUUUCUUUUUUUCAAAAUGCGUGAACUUUUUUUAUCAAAAUCAAUGACCUUUUCUCAAAUCUAUGAACUUUUUCCAAAAUCAAAUUUCCUGAUACUUUUUUUAAAUUGGUAAUUUUUAAAUUAGUAAGCUAUUUUUAAAAAUCCAUAAACUUUUUUUCAAAUUCGAUGAACAUUUUUCCAAAUUAAAUGAACUGUUUUUUUUUCAAAAUCGAUUAACUUUUUCCCCAAAUUCGUGACAUUUUUUAAGUUUGUGAGCUUUUUUAAAAUCAGUGAACAUUUUCGAAUUCACAAAAUUUUUGGAUUUUUUUGUGCUUUAUAUUUUCGCAUUAUUUCCAAAGGUCAAUGGUUGACUGAUGAAAUGCCCAUUUGAUUAUGUGCGUGGGUACCAAGAAGCUCAACCAGCGCCUAAGGUGCCCAAUAGGAGGUUCCAUUAAUGUGGAUAUCCCCACAUACUAUUUGAAGGCCUCCUUGCUUGGAGUUGGGCCUCAUGUUUGCCACAAUUUUUUUUAGAAUUGUUUUUCAAUUUUUUCAUAUUUUACUGUUCAUGCUGAGACCAUAAGAGCUCAAACUUAGACGGGGACUUUCCAACAGUUUUGUCAUCAAUGCUAAUGACAUGCACAUAUAGGUGAUGUUGGCAAAAGCAUAAGAGGAGCGAAGUGGCUUGGUCAGAACUCAUGUUUUUUUGAAAAUUAGGGAUAAAACUGCUGAGUCAGACACAACUAAGGGCAUAAAACUAAUUAUUUCUUUUAUUUUGGACCCUAGUAAGUGUCACACAUGUGGCAUGAAUACAUGGCAACUCCGAACAAUUUUUAUAUUUGAAUGGUAACUUUUAAGUCUAACCUUCAAUUAGGUACUCCCGCGCUAUCAGGCAUGAACACGACAAUUAAAUUGUACGAAUGAAGUUGGCACAAACGCAUGACAACUCCGAACGUUUUAGGACCCUGAUAAUGCUUUAUACCGUGACCCUUGUUUGGCACAAGUUCUGUAUAGAUUAAAUUGUACGAAUGAAGCUUGCAACUUACUAGAAUAUGCAAAUGAUCAAUGAAAACAAGCGAUCUGCUACUAGUGAUGAGUUAGACCUGGCAAAUUGUGAACCGAUUUCCUUUACCUGUGAUAGGCAACAUUGCUAGAGUGCUAAUCACUGUGUAAACUAACAUAAACAUUACAGAGGGAGUGCAUUUGUUAGCCACAUAAGAGAAUUCAACGCAACCAAGACGACGGAAAACUCUGUCCUUUAUACUGGUGUAAUUUACAUCUCUGACGCUAAGAGAGAGAGCUCAACUUGCUACAUAUGUACAACCUCAGAAACUUUGUUUCCGAGAGAAAGAAUAUAGCUACCAACAAAGAGCAAAAACGCAGCAACUGUAGCUUGCCAAUACUUGCUUUAUCUACAGAAACAAUUGAUCGGGACACGGAACCUUUUGGCUAAAACAGCAGCCCUAGCUCUGUGCAAUGACAGAAAAUUUAUCAAUCCUGCGACGUUGCCGAGUACUCAAAGAGAAGCCGAUUGGACGGUGUGGAUUGGAAGAUUACGCGGAGUCUACUGGUUAGCUGGUAUAUCAGCGACCACUGCAUCGCCAUUUCUGAAUCUUUCAUUUGCCUCACAACAGAGGCCUGCAUAACGACGGUGGUAAUCCAGAUCAGUUUCUAUUCGUGCAGCACACUGCGCAGUUUGGCUCAAAUUGUUUAUUAAGCUUUCAGGAAGACAUAAAAGAAUCAUACCUGAACGCGUUUUCCAAGCUGCACUUCGACCUCCGUAGCAAAAGAGAUAUUGUUUGCCAGUGAUUUGAGUGGAUCAACCGUUGGAUCUACGGACAACAAACUUGGAAUCUGUGGAGCAUAAACCAUCCGCCACCGUGCUUGUCCAAACUCACCCUUGCCUUCGAUUCUUGGCAUCAAAGUUUCUAGUGUUGCAGUUGCGAGUUUCUUGAAUGCAAGCUGUCCGUCACCUUCCAAUAGCGACUCCGCAAGCUGCGACUCAAAAACCUUUGCGGCCUAUAGCACAGCAAGAAACCAGAGUUGUAAGAGUUACACAUAAUUAGGAAAACAAAAUAACUCAGGCUCAGUUAAGUCAAUGUUUUAAUCUCCUUAUUCCACUCUUGAGUAGAGAACUGGCAAGCAACCAGCAAAAGGCAGAUUUAGCUAAUCAUAAAAACUGUUCAAUUUUUUAAGACAAGAAAUUAAAUCAUGAGAUUAUCAGGACUACAGCAAAGUUAAGCUGUAACUCAUUUGUAGAUGUAUCUUACCUCACUAGGUGACAGAACAUCCUGGUCCACGGAGCGAGUCGAGGUUACAACCAGAUUAUCUUGCCACAUGCUGGCUCGACUCAUGAUUUUGAAUUGCCAUUCAGAUCCAACAAGGACGAGAUCCAGAACAGGAUCUAAACCAAGAUCAGGCUCAAACUUUGCUACAUUUAAAUGGUCACUUUUAAGUCUAACCUGCAAUCAGGUACAGAAAUGUGAAGCAACUCAUCAUAAACCAUUUUCAAACUGGGAAAGAAAAAUGAACUUGUGCCAAACAAGGGUCAAACUAUAAAGCUUACCUGAGUAGCUACCAAGUUGACCUCACCAUUUUCAAAUGUUAAUAUACCCUUCGGCCUUAUGUACUUUGGAUGUACCAUGCCAUUAAGCUCAAGGUCACCACUGACAGCAAAAUUCAGAAUUAAAGGAUAAACAAUUCUUAAUUCUGGUCCCAGCGUGAGCUUCAAGUCAUUGAGUCGGGCAUCAAUGUUUGGCUUAAAACUUCCAUUCUCAAGAGUCCUUUCUGUUUCUGUUUGUUGACCAACGAUGCAAAAAAUUGAAAGCUCCAGUAAACCCAUAAAGAAAAUUAGAAAAACAGCAGGACAGAGAGAGGGAGAAGCAUACGCUUCUUUUAGAUAUUCACAUCAAAUGUAACGAAUUGUCACAUGUAACCAGUUAACUAGUUAAGCUAUAUGUAUCGGUCAAGCUUUGCUGUGAAAUAUUAGUGAAUGUCAAAUUAAUGGAAUACGUACUAUCUGGCGAAGUUGACAAUGCACCCAGGAAACGUGAGACAUCCUGCGAAGUAGUUGUUUGACCAAAACCAGCAAGAAGAUAGCUGGACUUGUUUGAAGCCAACCUAGUCGCCACAGCACCAUUGCCUUUAUCAUGAGGCAAAUAUGCUUCACCAUGGGUUAACCGGAUCAUCCCAGAGACAUCUGGCCGCAAUAUUGAGCCUGUAACCUGCAGCUGGCUGUCUACUUGGCCACUGUACAAAUCAAAACAAAAACAGUUUAGCAAAUGAUAAGAAGACAUAAUUUGGGAUCCUACAUAUUGCAUGUUCAAUAUGAAUUUAUGAGAUGCUUUUCAGGUUUUGGCACAGUACUGUUAACUGUUUCCAUAAACCAGCUUUAGAAGACAAUCAACCAGAUCGUGGGGUGCUUUACAUCACUCAGAAGCUGCUAGUCAGAAACUAAGCUUCAACAUAUAGUACAGAAAUCAAAAAGGAUAAAGUAGAAAUAAUUACCUUAAAACAUUUUUUGCUCGUAUAUCCAGAACUUCACAUUUCAACUCAAUCUUAUCACUGGCUGAUGGCUCACUAUUUUGCAGAGGUAGAGUCCCUUUCAUUGACAAUUUUCCCUUCCUCCCAACCCUGCUUUCCAUGGAAUUGAUGAAUAGUCUGUUGGAUAUAACAUUAACAUUACCAGCGAAAUUUGUAAGCGGCGUCCGAAGGAAAGGAGAAGUCACAGUUGCUCGGUGAAAUGAUGCAGACCCAUCAACAACAGGUUGAUCAACAGUGCCUUUAACCUUCCAUCAAAAUGGCAAAGAAAAGAGGAGGAAAAUGUUAAUCAACUGCUUCAUGUUAGAUCCAAAAUAAAAUAAAAAACUGUGGAUUCCACAGGUGGAACAAAGAACUACCUAUAAAAGACAACAUUUAUGCUUCAUAGUUUAAAUCAACAGAUAUUUUCAUCAAUCACAAUUAAUCUAUGAAAAAGAGCAAUAUGUUACGUUGUCCUUAGUGGAAUUAUGGGAAUUAAAAAAGGAUGGGCCACCUGAAGGAGCACAUCAGCAUAGCCUUGAAGCCAGUUUGCAUAAGGACUAAGUGCAGUUAUCAACAUCAUGCCACCAUCCUUUAUAUCUGCAUUUACCCUCACUUCACCUGGUUCUAGCAAAUUCCAACUUAAACCUUUUAGACUUUCAGCUAACUGAAAUUCCCAACCAUCCUCUGGCUUGUCCCUCACGAUUCUUGUUUCACUGAUAUCAUUAGAUGAUCCUCUGUCUUUCGCCCAAACAGGGAUUCUUAUAAUACCAUGUUUACCAUCUCCAGCUUCCAAAUUUUCCUCCGUGGAGCUGCUGUCGACGUAAGUCACAGGAAUACUACCUUGAAUGUUUACAUGUCCACUUUGUAUAGUUGGUUCGAUAUUUGCAUCAAAAACAAAACGGCUUGUUGGGGUUACAGAGGCCAAUACUUCAGCUCUUCCCAGAUCAAUGCCUCCGAUGGUGCCGUCAAGAAGUCUAAUUUGAACAUCACAUUCUGGUUUUGCGAGAGUGCCUCUCAAAUCUCCCUCCAUGUGUAAAAUACCUUUUAUUGGUGUCACCCAUUGCCUCAGAAAGUGAAUUGAAUCUGUAGUUGAUGAUUCUAGAGCCUGAACUAGAGCUGGUAUAAGACCAACUGGGAAAUUAAGCACAGCAAAGUGAAGAUUUGUUAGCGGGCCAAGAAUCGAUCCGUCAGCAUGAAGGGUGGCAUUAUCCUUCUGAAUAAAUAACUUAUCAAGACGCAGGCCAUCAUUAUUGCUAUAAGAACCAGAUGCCAGAACACGCUGUGUCUUGUAUGUGCCCCACUCCCAAUCUUCACCAUUGAAAUCAAAAUCAGCCUGUAUAAAUAAAGCCAUUAGGAAUCAUGUUUACAUAUAAUUCAGAGAAGAUUGUCUUGCUGAUAGUGCCAUUUACAAAGUCAAGCUUCUGUAAAUAUUUCUUCCAACAUACCAAAAGAUGUAGUGGAAAUAAACCGCUAACACAAAUACAGUACAANNNNNNNNNNNNNNNNNNNNNNNNNNNNNNNNNNNNNNNNNNNNNNNNNNNNNNNNNNNNNNNNNNNNNNNNNNNNNNNNNNNNNNNNNNNNNNNNNNNNNNNNNNNNNNNNNNNNNNNNNNNNNNNNNNNNNNNNNNNNNNNNNNNNNNNNNNNNNNNNNNNNNNNNNNNNNNNNNNNNNNNNNNNNNNNNNNNNNNNNNNNNNNNNNNNNNNNNNNNNNNNNNNNNNNNNNNNNNNNGGGGGGGGGGGUCAGUGAAGCUCGACCAAAAUGCUAGAAGUGUUAGUGUAAAGACCACUAUUAGGAGUUCAUCAAUAAUUACCGGGGCAAAAGUCUGAUAGAGUUAAUAUUUGAACAUGCUCACCAUAGUAUCUCCAUUCCCUCCUCCACUGGCAUCAAGAGAACCACGCCAGUAACCUCUCAGUUCAGCUAAGGCCGGAAGAGUUAUAUCUUCAAUUGUAUCAUCAUCCAACCAGUCGUGAUACAUUUCAACUGCCUGUUGCAAGGAAUGGGAUGAAGUUAAUAUAAGUAGCAUGUCAUAAUAACAAGGGAACCCGCUAAUAAGGGAAACCAUAACUCUAUGCCUGUGAUACAAUAUUCUAAACUCACUAUCUUUAGUACCUUUAUCUGGUCACGUAGGCUUUCAGCAUUGAACCCAACAGAAUGCAAGCAUUGCAUGAAAAGUUCCUGCAAACAAAUAUAGGAUCAAAUGGCUGCUACCAUCUAGCAGACCAUAAACACCAACGAAUAUUAUAACCAACAAAGGAAAAGAAAGAUAGAAUCACAAAUACAGAACAAACUGCACACCUUCGAUCUAGAACGAAUAACUGGAUCUGUACUUCGUGAAAGAAGUCUUGCCAGGGGAAGUAUUUCAGCUACUUCAGCAUCGGGAACUUCUAGUCUCAUCCUCCACCUGCCCAUUGAAGACAUAAUGCUACCAAGAUGCCCUCCCAUUGCUUUCUGUAUAAACCCAUUACCAUGACUUUCCAUAGGAAAUCUAUCACGUGUUCCUGGAAACACAUACUCCCCUUGAAGCUCAUACUUGCUAUUAGGUUGCUCUAGGACUGACUUUUCCAUUGUAAUCUGGGUAUUGAAAAUACAAAGAAUAGCUAGUAAGUCAACACAGCAAGGACUCACAACUACUCCCUCCGUCCCAUAAUGUAGGAUGUUUUUGGACACUAGUGUAGUGUCAAAAAACGUCCUACAUUAUGGGACGGAGGGAGUAGCUAUUAAAAAUAAGAUAAGAACCUCACUGGAAUGUAUAACUAGUGUCAAGAAAAACAACAAAUGCAUGUUAUACAUCAAUUGUUUUAUGUUUGUCAUCUGGGAAAGGCUAACAUGGGGGAUGCUAGGAACCAUGAAACUGAGUUAUAACAGUGUUUGAAGUUUCCUUACUCCAAAAAUUCUACUAAACAACUACCAAAGAGGUGGCAAAAUUCUUGAUUACAACUUACAAGUAAUACCAAACACCUGCUAAAGGUAACACAUGAGAUAUGGCUUCAACCACACAAAACAAGAAAAUAUAUGUGGGAGAAAAAAAAACUCACAACAUCACCACUCCAUCGAGCAGCUAUAUCAAGUGCUUCACCAAACACACCACUAAAUUUGGGACGGACCACUGAUAACAAACCAUGACCUCUUCUUUUCUGGAAAUUAAGCUGAACUUCUGCCUGUAACAAGAAAAGAUCUGUUACAUUAGACAUCAUUGGUGGAUUCUCCAUUUAGCAAUUGAUCACAAUUGAUUUACAACAAAUACUGGAGAAUGGAGCUUCCACAUUUAUUUAUUUUUUGAGCAGAAUUGGAGCCUCCACAUUCGACAUAUACAACUUCUCAUGAAAUGCAAGAAAAAAAAGUAUGAAUACUUAGUUAUUACUUAAGGAGCAGAAGACCACGUUGUAGUUCAAAAAAGUUUACAUCAAUUACAGAAAAUUUAUAUGGCACAGAAUACAUAAGCUAUGGACAAAUAGCAUAGCAUUAAAUAGCAGAAAACCAGAAGGUGCAGCACAGAAAAUGACAGAUGCAUAUUUUCAAUCCGAAAACUCCAUUAACUACAUCAGCACAAUAUAACAUUUUAUUAGACUGCAUCAUGUAGUUAACUGAACUAACAUCUCUCCUGCGAAAUUUAAAUUGCAGAAGUGCUUUACUAUCUGACGGCAUGCAAGCAUCAUGACUAAUUACAACUCACGUGUAUGAGACAUAGAAUCAACCAAACAGAGCUACCAACAAUACAGAACCUGAAAACAGAUUACCUAACCAAAAAAACACGGAGUAUGCCAUACUCUCAUCUAGGACAAUAUUACCUUCUGAACAAAUCCACGUAAUGAAGCAAGCUCCAGCUCGUCAAGUGGCAAAUUCCGAACCUUUACGACCAGAAGACAAGUAUCAACAAUAUCGAAACGGACUCUACAAGUCUUAUAAUGUUCAAGAAAGAUUGCUGGCAAGGAAAAUACACACACUAACACAACACUAACAGUAGUAGAGUACCUCCAAAUUAGUCAAACUUUCAGGAUGAUAACAUAUAUUAGACUUCAGCUGCCCCUUUUGGAGGAAAAUUGAUAGAAGCCUUUCAUCUUGAAUGGCGUCAUUUGUACCAAAAAACAAUGGCCCGUUCACUUCUAUGGAAAUCUUUUCAUCAGGCCUGCCGGUAGCAUUUAACUAUGUUGCAGGGGAAUAGGGAUAGUAAGAGGAAGAUGUAAGGGAAAGAGAACAACAUGUAGUCUAUGCAGAUAAAAAAUAAUAAAAAUCAACAUAACUACCAAAUGCAUACAGCACUCUCUUCAAUUAUUUGGAAGGUGCGCUUGACAUAGAAAAUCAUCACAUCAUAUAUAUCCAAGGAGAAAAUCUUUAUAUUGUGUCGAACCAUGGAGUUAGAAUUAAAGCCUCUUAAAGAGUUAAAGUUACUGAACUUAUGCCCGUUGCUCUCAUAAGUAAAAUAGUUGCUGCCAGAAUAGUUUGUGUGGGUUAAAAAUUGCUGUGAUUUGUCAGAGUAUGCUAUUAUUGCAAUGCAAUCUGUUAAGCAGCAUAAAAUGGUAACAGAAGUGAAUCAAUUUGGAUAGUGAAGUGUACCUUUAAGUGGACGAAUGGCCCUCGAGCCUUGGAGAAAAUAGUGAAUGUAUUAAAUACAUCCAUUCUUUCUAUUUUUAUUUGGUUCUCGUUUUGUAUUGCAAGGUAAUGUGCACAGAUUUUAGUAAUUUGAAGAAGUAAAAGACGGGAAGUGUUUAAAUCCAAAAUUCCACUUUACAGACUGUUACAGAUCUGUCUGUGCAUGCCACUAUUGAUGAUCCAAACUAUAGCACUUAGUGCACACAACCGAGGCACAUACAAACAAAUUGAAUUAGGCUAUAAAAUCACAUACAAGCAAUGCAAGUCAAAUUCAGAGGACGAAACAACAAAACAGCAACUUACCAUCACAGAAUCUCGUGACAAGGAAAGAAAACCAGUAGACUGAGGUGCCAGCAUGAGUUGGUUAAGUUUUAUUCCUGACAGAGAAAUCUCCCCAACAAGCCUUGACACAUCACUCUCAAGCUUACUUUGGUCCAUGAUACUUUGUAAAGCGCCAUAUAUCUUGUCAUCAACUACCUGGCUAGGUUUCACCACUUUUCCUUGAAAUUUGACCCUUCCAGAUGCUUUCAAAUGUAAUGGCCUCGGUGUAUCAAAAGGUAUUGAAGAAGCUAUAUGAGCAAAUUCAAAGCCUCGCAUACGUAAAUCCAAAUCAACACUCUCCACAACUAGUGGCAUAAUCUUUUUCAUUUGAUACAUCUCCUUGUACAGCGAGUAGUCAUCAAUAUAUGAUGUUUGAAUACGAGUAUUUAAGUCAAAGGAAACUGAUGAUGAGUUAACCAUGAUAUAAUCAUGUGCAAUAACAAUAUUGCCCCGUGCAUCAGAAAAGGAAUCUUCUGCAUUUGGUGCAGCCCAUUUGAUAUCAAAUUUCCUGUCAUAAGUUUUUGUUGUCGUUAGAAUACCAGAAAAUACAUAGCCUACUUGGCCAUUAGGACUCCAGAUGAUAGAUGUAAUGUAAGAUACUCACGGUCUAUUAAGCGGGCCAGAAAGUCUAGUUUCUCCAUUGAGCUCGCCAAUUUUCAGUGGGAUCAGCUGAAUGCCUCCAGGUAUGUACCGAUGCAAAACCUUAUCAAGUAAAAUGCUCCCGGAUAAAUUAAUAUCCAUAGCAGAAUCAUCACCUUCCCCCUGCAGAGAUCUAAAUAUGUAUUAUACUUGCAUAAUGUGGUAAAUUUAUUUUGCAUCAUAAGAACAGCAGAGUAUCUAUUGGAUUUGUACAGCUAGUACAAAAAAAUCUGUGUAAGCUCUUAGGAAUACGCUGCUAGUAUUCCAUUUAUUUCGGUAGAGUACAAACUGAUAAGUUAUACACCCUCCGUCCCAAAAUAAGGGCCGCUGAUUUAGUACAAAGGACACUUAUGUUGGGAUGGAGGGGGUAGUUGCUAUUUCCAAUGCUCCAGGGGCUCAAUAGUAGACAUUCACUGUAAGCCCAGAGAAAUAAACAAACAAAUGGCUUAGCUAGGAUGUAAUUAUGAUGUCUAUGGCGAGGCCAAAGUUGUGAAUAAUGGACCUAAGAGUUUGGAAGGUUCUUCAUGAAUGCAUUUGCAUAGUUCGUUUCCAUAUGUAUUUUCAAUUUACAAAGUCCUGAUGGCUACUCUACGUUUUCGAAUAUUAUUCUUGAUAAUGAUACAGGAAGAACAAAUGCUUGGAUGACUAUAGAUGUAGAAAAAAGUCUGCUGAAAAUUAGCGCAAACAUGAAAAGAUGGCUGGCUGGAAGUGUAAUCAAAUAAUCAAUAGUCACAAUACCUCUGGGCAAAUCCAUGCAUUACCAGCCCCUCGAAUUUCUCCACCAUCCAAAAGACAUGCUCUAAUACCAUAUAAGUCUGCAACCUGCAGCCAGUCAUAACAAAGAGAAAUUAGUUGUUCCAAUUUCACAAACUUCAAUAACGGAAAAAAAUAGUGGCUCUAUUUCUACUCACACAGUUGUCAAGGUUGAAAGUGAAAUUCGCUGAUACAUGAGAGAAGGGAAUAUGAUCAAACGCAGCAACUGCACCAGCCUCCUUGUUUUGAAUCACAGCUUCAGAAGCUGCAGAUGGAGGCAUACCAGAUACUGAAAGGGACUUCCUUGAGACAAUCCCACUUCCAACAAAAACAGGAGCAUCAAGAGGUCCUUGACAAUUAAAUACAGCAGUAACAGCACCAGCCACCUAAAUAAGAUAAGAAGUGUACCAGCAGUUAAGUGGAUGAACAUGAAAAUUUAGCCAAAAGAUUUUUUUAAACACAUACAUCAUUGAUAGAGAUCAUCCUAAGCUAUUGUUAACAAACAAAUGAGACAGAACUGCUUAAAUGGUAUUUCAGGAACAGUUUGCGGUGCUGAACUGCGAUGUGUUGAUCAUAUUUUAAUAUUUUAUAUGUACUGCAGAAAAUAGCUACAGAAAAAAAAGGUUGAUUGAAGAAAUGGUAAUAUUAAGCUGGUCAGACAAACGGAAUUAUCACUAUCCAUAAGAGUGGUCAUUUUGCUUCAUCAAGAAGUUGAUUUUUAAUGCUAAGAACCAUGAUAACUGGUAUUUUAAGAUAAAUCACAAGUGUCAUUGUCGGGCAAUUCAAAUGAGUGGAAUAAACCAUCUAUCAUACAACUACAUAAAUAAGUCAGGUUGUGCAGUGCAUUUUAUAUUCAAGUCAAACUUAUUUUUCGUGUUGUGCCAUAUAUGUGGUUUCAGUAUAGCUAACUCCAGAUAUGAGUUCAGAUAGAUCAUCGCAAUGAAUCGGCAGUACAAAAUAGAGUCUGUUGUUUUUCGCUGCAUGCAGGAAUCUAGUAUUUCCAAAUAAGUCGAGUAAAGUAUGUCGAACCGGAAACAUCAGAGGCUUCAUUUUCACCGACUUCAUAAGCGCAUUAACUUCAACAGAUGGAACCUGAAAAAAAAGAUAUCAAGUAAAUGUAUGAGUUGCUGUUUAGGGGACUACAUGUAUAUACAAUGUAAUUAUCAACUUAAAGAUACCUGGCACAUUAGAUGGAACUCUCCAUCCUCAGGAUUUAAACCAAAAUCGCCAGAAGUUUCAACCGGAACAUCACCAAACCAACCACUUGCAUUAUGCAGAAAUACUCUUUGACCACGGAAUGACAGAGUUGCCACUAUUUCCUGAAUAUGUUGAGGCUUCCAUUAAAAACUAUAAUCACUUGGAAUGUUUGCAGCAGCAAUAUUUGGAAAGUAGUUACUAUUUGCAUAUCAAAGUACGGAAAUUCGGAAGACAUCUGAGCACAUGUGGCCUAGUUUUCACAUCAGAGCUAAAUGUCAGCGUCUGAAAUAGAUGCUUAAUUUGAAAUGCCAAUGACUGAUCUGUUUCUUACUACACUGCAGAUCAACAGCACCCACCCUGAGGUGCCCUGAGAACACGCUAUAUAGCAGCCACUAAUAUGACAAUAUCGCUUCGCCAACACCUCAUUCUUCAGUCUCUUUCUCCCUUAGCUACAUUAUGCCAGAAACUUGUGCAUCCAGCAUACAUGUGUUGAAGUGUGGUAUAUGUGGAUUGCCUAGCCCUUUCCAUCAGUUUGGACUUUUGGUUUUGUUGGUUAGUGCACGAAGCUCAACCCAAUGGAUAUCAUUUGUCAAUACUGGAAACCAUAAGUAUAAAUGUUGGUUAUAAUGAAGUAUGGCCAAUUGUUGCACAUCAAAAUCCAAAUUUUGGGUAGUCGAUAAAAUUUUCACGUUUUAGUAAAUUCUAGGCAAACCCACAUAGUAUAGAAGUUCUUUCCAGGAAAAUCAACAAUAAUGAAACUGGCCCACCUGAUGAUUCAUCUAUUAUUCCUGGAAACCCUCAUGAAUUUCUAGCUAUACCCCUGAUUCUAGUCAUUUCAACAAUAUUCACCAGCGACCAAUUGUGUUUACUUUUAAAGAAGUAACUAGGCACUCAUUUUUCACCCGCAACACAACACUCUAGUUUGGUAAAGUAAGGGGUCAAUGACCUACAAGAAUAUUGGUAGCUCAGGUUAAUGGCAAAUCAACAAGAAGACAUUAAAGCCAUGUUAAUCUGUCUUGUGCCUAUGAAAACUGAUUCCGCGCAAGACCCUACUUAUUACAAACAUGCAGAGUUGGAAAAACAAAUGAGAUAAGGUAUAAGUAUACCGAAAAUGAUGAGGGAGCAUCUAAUAUCUGAAAACCUAGGCCUUUCACAUCAAGCUGGCCAUGAAUGCUCGGAAAACUAUCACCUUUCGACAUACAGAUAUGCACCUGGAGAAGGAAAAGGAGAAAUAUUGCUGUACGCAUUUAGUAUCUCCAAGCAUGAAAAAAAGCAGUUCCCGUGAGGCAUGUAUGUCUAGCACUCUAGAUGUAGCAAUGUAGCAUGAACCUUGUGGCAAGUUCAGUUAUUCGUUAAGUGCAUGUGGAAGUCAUGUCCAGGUAUUGUCUAAAUUGUAUGCACAAGUGGCUGAUAUUAAUAGUGAAAUUGAACAUGCAAGAGAUUAAGUUUAGAAAAGCACCUCACCAGUUGCUCUUCCUUUGUGCCAGACAACUGGUAUUUCUAGGAUACGCUCAAACAGCUGCACAUGAAAAAUUGCUCUUCAAUACAAGAACUAAGAACUGUAGCAUCUUGUAUACAUAAUAAAAGUAGGUGCAUUACCGGGGCAAAAGCAUUGACUACAUUCAGAUUAGCAUGCCAUGUUUGCUCCGCUAUGUCAACAAAGACAUCUGUAGAAAGAUAACCCCCUCCUUGAGAAGUUUGAUCUUGUCUCCACUCCAUGCAGUUCCCAGUGACAUGCACAUGUACACGAUUAUAGGAGUUUUUGAACUUGACGUGUCCAUUAGCCUGUUUCAUUUCCCUACAAUAGUAAGGCAACGACUACAAACUUAGUUGAUGUUCAUUUAUAAUGCCGCAGUUGCACCCCAGCCCCCUUUUGGAAGAGCCUAUAAUAAUGCACUGAAUAAUACAAGUAAGAUAAGUUGAAAUAUACUGCACCCUCAUUACAGUAAUUUACUUGACAAUAUAACUCCUGAUAAUAAGAAUUAACAAUAUAAAUCCGAACACCGGUUAUGAGAAUAUUUAUUGUUCACAGAAAUUUAAUUGUUGGGGAAUGCAGUAAAUUCAUGGGAAGAGACAGAUGAUCACAAAAUUACCCCAAUAUAAGUUCCAACAGUGAUACACUAAUACAUUUUGAAAAUGCACAAGAAAGGAGAAGAGCAUAUAUUUGCAAUAGAAAUGGCAAAUGAUGAGGUCAAACCUUGGUUCCUGAUCACCGUAUCCUAGAAGCAUCAAGUUCCCUCCACUGAAAUAAACAGAAUCCAGUGUGAUAGGAAGCAUAUGCUGAGCCCCACCAGGAUUUAUCUGGUCAACCCCUUCUACGAGUCCAGCAGGGGCAUCUUCAAGACCGAUAGCAAAUCGCGACUUCAACUUUUGAAUUUCAACACCCAGAGAAGCAUAUGGUGCAUUAAAAUGAACACGGGAGCCCUUUGCCUGCAAAGGCCAAAAUGACUGACUAAUAUUAUCUUCAGAAAGACUCUCAAAUUCCUCCAACAUGCGGCCUUGGUACAAGUUGCCCUCGCCAUGCUGCACAUCUUCCAAAUGGUUGCAUACCAACAUUUUGUUAUCGGAGUGAUGCAAACUAUGCUGACUAGGUUGUUGAUUAUGAGAAUGCUCCGCAUGCACAUCAUUUGCAUCGAUGAUUGGCAUUGCACUUGCAGAUUUGCCUUCACCUAGACAGUCCAGACAACGACUACUAUUUAAUGGAAAUUCACCAGAAUUCUCUGGUGCAGUAGCAGAGCUGACAAUUGGUGCAUAAUUUGAAGUGGCUUUGCCAGAACCAGCAUUUGCAUGACCUCCUCCGUUAGAUGAAUUAUUCCCAGAACCAGGGGAUGAGUUAUCAGGAUUACCACUCUCCAUGUUUUCAAAAUAUGCCACAGCAGCCUGUGCACUACGCCGAAGGAUCCUUUCCUGAGAGGAAUUGUCGAUGCCUGAUACCACCUUGUUGUGACCUUUCCUCUUGUAUCUUCGCUUUCUAGGGUUCGGGAUCAUCCUAGACCAGAAGUUGAUGCCCGGGAUACGCGAUUUCACACCGAAUGAUUUCUCCAGAUCCGCAUGCUUUGAGCUAGAGUCAAUAAUGCCUGGAUCCAUGUGUCGAUCGUUCCUGUGCAUCUCAUCAGCACAGAGGGGCGGGCUACUGGAUUUCCCAUUUCCGACAGGUCCAUCGUCCUCCAGCAUCUCGUCAGCCGAACGUGAAGUGGAUUGGCCACUGGGAACUGCGUAUCCCCUUCGAGCAGAUUCCCUAGCAGCUCUGUCCCUCUCCUCGUCCCACUGCCCCCCAGCCUUCUCCCUGGCGAGCCUCCUGGUCUUGGUACGGUAGUCAAUGCCCUCCUCCGCCGAAUUCCUCUUGGGCUUCCCCUCCUUGGACGGCGCGGGGAUGCCCAGCCAGGAGAAAUCCUUCCUCUGCGCGACGAGCGCGGUGGGGUCGGAGAGCAGGGCGUCGACGACGACCCGCCCCCUCCUGAGGCUGGCGAAGGGCCUGACCCUGAUCUUCAUGACGGGCACCUCGGCGCAGGAGAACUCGUCGGCGCGCGGGCCGACGGAGCAGGUGUGGAGCGUGAUCCCGAGCGGCGAGACGCUGCGCGCCCCGCCGACGCGGACCUCCCGCUGGAGGUAGUCCCCGAGCGCGGCGCAGGCGGCCGGGAGGAGGCGCGCCUCGACGAAGGCCCGCGCACGGUGCUGCGCGUACCAUGAGAGCGCUGCGGCGACGGAGAGCACGGCGGCGAAGGCGGAGCAGCGCACGAGGAAGAGGCCCUCCCGCCAUACGGAGGCGAGGGAGCCGAUCAGGGCCCGCAGCGGCGGCGGGCGGUGGUGGUCGUGGCCGUGGCUGGGGAGGCAGUCGCUCGAGUCGGAGACCCUGAGGCGGAGCAGCGGGGGCGGGUCGAGGCGCGCGAGGGUUAGGAUGGGCCUCGGGGCGUGGCGGCGGCCGCGGCCGCCGCGCGCGCGGCGAGGCCGGCAGACGAGGAGGGGCGGCGGCGCGAGGGAGGGCGAGACGCGGAGGCAGUGCGACAUUGCGCCGGGCUGGCCGCCUAGGUGACCAUUUGCGUGCGGCGGGAGAAAGAGAGAUGGGACGGGUGGGUGGAAUAGUAGUCACCGGCAGUGGGCGAGCCGAGAGAGAGAGAUGGGCGGGGGAGAGAUGCUUGCCUCUCGCUGGGGUCGUUGCCUACUUGCCGUGCUCGCUUCUUUUUGGAUUUUGCCGCAGAUGAUUUGUCUUCCCUUCGCCUCUUCUUGUCUCGCCUCCUCUUUGUGAUGAAAGCGAAAGACCAGACAAGCUAAUUAUUUCGCUUCUCUCUCCCGUACAAAAUGGCCUACCAGCAGCAUAUGGAAUGAAUGUUUUCAGAGGGCAAAAAUAACAAAGAUACUCCUACCAAAGAAGGCAUCGGAAACCUAAAGACAACCAUGAAGCAUCAUCCACAGACACAGAGCGAGAGGAAAAGUACCCAAGAGGCCCUGUUGGCCAUGUUGUUGUCUAUCAUAAGUUCAACCGGAUCAACACAAUUCAAAACACAAUUACAACGACCGUUCUGGUGACCACGAAGGCCUUCCAGAAUUCCGAAACCGAAUAUCAGAAAGGCGCUCCAUGGUCACCAUAAAUACACAACUCUGGGGAGGACUGGAUGGGGAAAAAGUUUAUUGCGACGGGUCCAAAACGAACAAGGGGAUCAUUCAUUAUCGAAACUCAGGAGCAUCUCAAAACUUGGGCGGCCCGUCGCGUUUUU